GGAGAGAUGGCUCAGCCGUUAAGAGCACUGACUGUUACUCCAGAAGGCCUGGGUUCAAUUCCCCGCAUUCCCA
rnacentral:tRNA from 1 species